rnacentral:rRNA from 1 species
GAUGAACGCUGACAGAAUGCUUAACACAUGCAAGUCUUUGGCGAAGUUGUGCUUGCACAGCCUAGCCAGGCGGACGGGUGAGUAACGCGUAAGGAACUUGCCCUGCAGUCAGGGAUAACAGACGGAAACGACUGAUAAGACCUGGUAAAGUCAGGCGGACUCAUGUCCAGCCUGAUGAAAAGAGAUGCUGCAGGAGAGCCUUGCGUCCUAUUAGCUUGUUGGUGGGGUAACGGCCCACCAAGGCGAUGAUAGGUAGCCGGCCUGAGAGGGUGGACGGCCACAAGGGGACUGAGAUACGGCCCUUACUCCUACGGGAGGCAGCAGUGGGGAAUAUUGGACAAUGGGGGCAACCCUGAUCCAGCAAUUCUGUGUGCACGAUGGAGGUUUUCGGAUUGUAAAGUGCUUUCAGCAGGGAAGAAAAAAAUGACGGUACCUGCAGAAGAAGCGACGGCUAAAUACGUGCCAGCAGCCGCGGUAAUACGUAUGUCGCAAGCGUUAUCCGGAAUUAUUGGGCAUAAAGGGCAUCUAGGCGGCCAGAUAAGUCUGGGGUGAAGACUUGCGGCUCAACCGCAAGCCUGCCCUGGAAACUAUGUGGCUAGAGUACUGGAGAGGUGGACGGAACUGCACGAGUAGAGGUGAAAUUCGUAGAUAUGUGCAGGAAUGCCGAUGAUGAAGAUAGUUCACUGGACGGUAACUGACGCUGAAGUGCGAAAGCUAGGGGAGCAAACAGG